rnacentral:rRNA from 1 species
GAUGAACGCUAGCGGGAGGCCUAACACAUGCAAGCCGAGCGGUAGAGAUCUUUCGGGAUCUUGAGAGCGGCGUACGGGUGCGGAACACGUGUGCAACCUGCCUUUAUCUGGGGGAUAGCCUUUCGAAAGGAAGAUUAAUACCCCAUAAUAUGUUGGAUGGCAUCAUUCGACAUUGAAAACUCCGGUGGAUAGAGAUGGGCACGCGCAAGAUUAGAUAGUUGGUGAGGUAACGGCUCACCAAGUCUGCGAUCUUUAGGGGGCCUGAGAGGGUGAUCCCCCACACUGGUACUGAGACACGGACCAGACUCCUACGGGAGGCAGCAGUGAGGAAUAUUGGACAAUGGGUGAGAGCCUGAUCCAGCCAUCCCGCGUGAAGGACGACGGCCCUAUGGGUUGUAAACUUCUUUUGUAUAGGGAUAAACCUACUCUCGUGAGAGUAGCUGAAGGUACUAUACGAAUAAGCACCGGCUAACUCCGUGCCAGCAGCCGCGGUAAUACGGAGGGUGCAAGCGUUAUCCGGAUUUAUUGGGUUUAAAGGGUCCGUAGGCGGAUCUGUAAGUCAGUGGUGAAAUCUCACAGCUUAACUGUGAAACUGCCAUUGAUACUGCAGGUCUUGAGUGUUGUUGAAGUGGCUGGAAUAAGUAGUGUAGCGGUGAAAUGCAUAGAUAUUACUUAGAACACCAAUUGCGAAGGCAGGUUACUAAGCAACAACUGACGCUGAUGGACGAAAGCGUGGGGAGCGAACAGGAUUAGAUACCCUGGUAGUCCACGCCGUAAACGAUGCUAACUCGUUUUUGGGCUUUCGGGUUCAGAGACUAAGCGAAAGUGAUAAGUUAGCCACCUGGGGAGUACGAACGCAAGUUUGAAACUCAAAGGAAUUGACGGGGGCCCGCACAAGCGGUGGAUUAUGUGGUUUAAUUCGAUGAUACGCGAGGAACCUUACCAAGGCUUAAAUGGGAAAUGACAGGUUUAGAAAUAGACUUUUCUUCGGACAUUUUUCAAGGUGCUGCAUGGUUGUCGUCAGCUCGUGCCGUGAGGUGUUAGGUUAAGUCCUGCAACGAGCGCAACCCCUGUCACUAGUUGCCAUCAUUAAGUUGGGGACUCUAGUGAGACUGCCUACGCAAGUAGAGAGGAAGGUGGGGAUGACGUCAAAUCAUCACGGCCCUUACGCCUUGGGCCACACACGUAAUACAAUGGCCGGUACAGAGGGCAGCUACACAGCGAUGUGAUGCAAAUCUCGAAAGCCGGUCUCAGUUCGGAUUGGAGUCUGCAACUCGACUCUAUGAAGCUGGAAUCGCUAGUAAUCGCGCAUCAGCCAUGGCGCGGUGAAUACGUUCCCGGGCCU